rnacentral:rRNA from 1 species
AAUAUUGCACAAGUGGGCGCAAGCCUGAGUGCAGCCAUGCCGCGUGUAUGAAGAAGGCCUUCGGGUUGUAAAGUACGUUUCAGCAGUGAGGAAGGUGUUGUCGUUAAUAGCGGCCUCAUUUGACGUUAGCUGCAGAAGAAGCACCGGCUAACUCCGUGCCAGCAGCCGCGGUAAUACGGAGGGUGCGAGCGUUAAUCGGAAUUACUGGGCGUAAAGCGCAUGCAGGUGGUUUGUUAAGUCAGAUGUGAAAGCCCGGGGCUCAACCUCGGAAUUGCAUUUGAAACUGGCAGACUAGAGUACUGUAGAGGGGGUAGAAUUUCAGGUGUAGCGGUGAAAAUGCGUAGAGAUCUGAAGGAAUACCGGUGGCGAAGGCGGCCCCCUCGGACAGAUACUGACACUCAGAUGCGAAAGCGUGGGGAGCAAACAGGAUUAGAUACCCUGGUAG